GCGGACGCAGCUUAGUGGAAAAGCAUCGGCAUCCAGCCGAAAGAUGUGGGUUCGAUUCCUACCGUUCGCU
rnacentral:tRNA from 1 species